UACGUAGGGUCCGAGCGUUGUCCGGAAUUAUUGGGCGUAAAGGGGCUCGUAGGCGGUCCGUCACGUCGGGAGUGAAAACUCAGGGCUCAACCCUGAGCGUGCUUCCGAUACGGGCGGACUAGAGGUAUGCAGGGGAGAACGGAAUUCCUGGUGUAGCGGUGGAAUGCGCAGAUAUCAGGAGGAACACCGGUGGCGAAGGCGGUUCUCUGGGCAUUACCUGACGCUGAGGAGCGAAAGCAUGGGGAGCGAACAGG
rnacentral:rRNA from 1 species